rnacentral:rRNA from 1 species
CCUACGGGGAGCUGCAGUGGGGAAUAUUGGACAAUGGGCGAAAGCCUGAUCCAGCCAUGCCGCGUGUGUGAAGAAGGCCUUCGGGUUGUAAAGCACUUUCAGUGGGGAAGAAAGCCUUGGGGCUAAUACCCUCGAGGAAGGACAUCACCCACAGAAGAAGCACCGGCUAACUCCGUGCCAGCAGCCGCGGUAAUACGGAGGGUGCGAGCGUUAAUCGGAAUUACUGGGCGUAAAGCGCGCGUAGGCGGUCUGAUAAGCCGGUUGUGAAAGCCCCGGGCUCAACCUGGGAACGGCAUCCGGAACUGUCAGGCUAGAGUGCAGGAGAGGAAGGUAGAAUUCCCGGUGUAGCGGUGAAAUGCGUAGAGAUCGGGAGGAAUACCAGUGGCGAAGGCGGCCUUCUGGACUGACACUGACGCUGAGGUGCGAAAGCGUGGGUAGCAAACAGGAUUAGAUACCCUGGUAGUC